rnacentral:rRNA from 1 species
GAUGAACGCUGGCGGCGUGCCUAAUACAUGCCAGUCGAGCGAACAGACGAGAGUGCUUGCACUCUCUGACGUUAGCGGCGGACGGGUGAGUAACACGUGGGUAACCUACCUAUAAGACUGGGAUAACUUCGGGAAACCGGAGUUAAUACCGGAUAAUAUUUAGCUUCGCAUGAGGCAAUAGUGAAAGACGGUUCUGCUGUCAAUUAUAGACGGACCCGCGGUGUAUUAGCUGGUUGGGGUGGUAACGGGUCAACGAGGCAGCGAUCGAUAAGCGACCGGAGAGGGGGAUCGGCCACACGGGGACUGAGACACGGCCCAGACUCCUGCGGGAGGCAGCAGUAGGGAAUCGGCCGCAACGGACGAAAGUCUUACGGAGCAAGGCGGCGUGAGUGAAGAAGGUUUUCGGAUCGUAAAACUCUGUUGUAAGGGAAGAACAGGUACGGUAGGAACUGAACGUACCUUGACGGUACCUUACCAGAAAGCCACGGCUAACUACGUG